rnacentral:rRNA from 1 species
AGGACGAACGCUGGCGGCGUGCUUAACACAUGCAAGUCGAACGGUGAAGCCCUUCGGGGUGGAUCAGUGGCGAACGGGUGAGUAACACGUGAGCAAUCUGCCCUUGACUCUGGGAUAACUUCGGGAAACCGGAGCUAAUACCGGAUAUGACACAUAAUCGCAUGGUUUGUGUGUGGAAAGAUUUAUCGGUCAGGGAUGAGCUCGCGGCCUAUCAGCUUGUUGGUGGGUAAUGGCCUACCAAGGCGACGACGGGUAGCCGGCCUGAGAGGGCGACCGGCCACACUGGGACUGAGACACGGCCCAGACUCCUACGGGAGGCAGCAGGUGGGAAUAUUGCGCAAUGGGCGAAAGCCUGACGCAGCGACGCCGCGUGAGGGAUGAAGGGCCUUCGGGUCGUAAACCUCUUUCGAGCGAGGAAGAAGCGAAGUGACGGUACUGCAGAAGAAGCGACCGGCUAAC